rnacentral:rRNA from 1 species
UACGUAGGGGGCGAGCGUUAUCCGGAAUUACUGGGUGUAAAGGGUGUGCAGGCGGCAUUGCAAGUUUGAUGUGAAAUCCCGGGGCUUAACUCCGGGCAUGCAUCGAAAACUACAGAGCUAGAGUACAGGAGAGGAAAGCGGAAUUCCUAGUGUAACGGUGAAAUGUGUAGAUAUUAGGAAGAACACCAGUGGCGAAGGCGGCUUUCUGGACUGAAACUGACGCUGAGACACGAAAGCGUGGGGAGCAAAC